rnacentral:rRNA from 1 species
GCAGAGGAUGCAAGCGUUAUCCGGAAUGAUUGGCGUAAAGCGUCUGUAGGUGGCUUUUAAGUCCGCCGUCAAAUCCAGGGCUCAACCCUGGACAGGCGGUGGAACUACCAAGCUGGAGUACGGUAGGGCAGAGGGAAUUUCCGGUGGAGCGGUGAAAUGCGUAGAGAUCGGAAAAGACACCAACGGCGAAAGCAACUCUGCUGGGCCGACAC